rnacentral:lncRNA from 1 species
CUGGCGUUGUUGAGCUUGGUUCCGUUUGGUCUUUGCCUGAGAAUCUUGAGUUGGUUAAGUCUGUUCAGGGUUUGUUCACGAGGAGAGCUGAGCCGCCUUUGGUAGUUCACAAGCUUUUCGGACAGGAACUGAAUGUGGUUGGAUCAUCUACAAAUAAUCAGUUGAGAAUGUCAGAUUCUUGUAAUGAGAAUAGACUAGCAUUAGGAGGAGGAGCUUGUGUUGUGGAGGAGAAGAGACCGAAAAAGCGAGGGAGGAAGCCUGCGAACGGGAGAGAAGAGCCCUUAAACCACGUGGAAGCUGAGAGGCAGAGACGGGAGAAGCUUAACCAGAGAUUUUACGCUUUGCGAGCUGUUGUGCCAAACAUCUCUAAGAUGGACAAAGCUUCUCUUCUGGAAGACGCCAUCUCUUACAUCAGAGAGCUUCAAGAGAGAGUGAAGAUCAUUGAACCUGUGGGAGUAAGAACAGUAGAAAGUCAAGAAGUUGUUGAGAUUCAAGCUGGGGAAGAAGAGGUUGUUGUGAGAGUGAUCUCACCGUUGGAGACACAUCCAGCUUCGAGAAUCAUACAAGCAAUGAGGAACUCAGAGGUUAGUGUUAUGGAGUCUAAGCUUUCAUCUGCUGAAGAGACAGUGUUUCACACUUUUGUGGUAAAGUCUAGUAACGGGUCGGAUCCGUUGACGAGAG